UUAAGCGACUAAGCGUACACGGUGGAUGCCCUGGCAGUCAGAGGCGAUGAAGGACGUGCUAAUCUGCGAUAAGCGUCGGUAAGGUGAUAUGAACCGUUAUAACCGGCGAUUUCCGAAUGGGGAAACCCAGUGUGUUUCGACACACUAUCAUUAACUGAAUCCAUAGGUUAAUGAGGCGAACCGGGGGAACUGAAACAUCUAAGUACCCCGAGGAAAAGAAAUCAACCGAGAUUCCCCCAGUAGCGGCGAGCGAACGGGGAGCAGCCCAGAGCCUGAAUCAGUAUGUGUGUUAGUGGAAGCGUCUGGAAAGGCGCGCGAUACAGGGUGACAGCCCCGUACACAAAAAUGCACAUGCUGUGAGCUCGAUGAGUAGGGCGGGACACGUGGUAUCCUGUCUGAAUAUGGGGGGACCAUCCUCCAAGGCUAAAUACUCCUGACUGACCGAUAGUGAACCAGUACCGUGAGGGAAAGGCGAAAAGAACCCCGGCGAGGGGAGUGAAAAAGAACCUGAAACCGUGUACGUACAAGCAGUGGGAGCACGCUUAGGCGUGUGACUGCGUACCUUUUGUAUAAUGGGUCAGCGACUUAUAUUCUGUAGCAAGGUUAACCGAAUAGGGGAGCCGAAGGGAAACCGAGUCUUAACUGGGCGUUAAGUUGCAGGGUAUAGACCCGAAACCCGGUGAUCUAGCCAUGGGCAGGUUGAAGGUUGGGUAACACUAACUGGAGGACCGAACCGACUAAUGUUGAAAAAUUAGCGGAUGACUUGUGGCUGGGGGUGAAAGGCCAAUCAAACCGGGAGAUAGCUGGUUCUCCCCGAAAGCUAUUUAGGUAGCGCCUCGUGAAUUCAUCUCCGGGGGUAGAGCACUGUUUCGGCAAGGGGGUCAUCCCGACUUACCAACCCGAUGCAAACUGCGAAUACCGGAGAAUGUUAUCACGGGAGACACACGGCGGGUGCUAACGUCCGUCGUGAAGAGGGAAACAACCCAGACCGCCAGCUAAGGUCCCAAAGUCAUGGUUAAGUGGGAAACGAUGUGGGAAGGCCCAGACAGCCAGGAUGUUGGCUUAGAAGCAGCCAUCAUUUAAAGAAAGCGUAAUAGCUCACUGGUCGAGUCGGCCUGCGCGGAAGAUGUAACGGGGCUAAACCAUGCACCGAAGCUGCGGCAGCGACGCUGAUGCGUUGUUGGGUAGGGGAGCGUUCUGUAAGCCUGCGAAGGUGUACUGUGAGGUAUGCUGGAGGUAUCAGAAGUGCGAAUGCUGACAUAAGUAACGAUAAAGCGGGUGAAAAGCCCGCUCGCCGGAAGACCAAGGGUUCCUGUCCAACGUUAAUCGGGGCAGGGUGAGUCGACCCCUAAGGCGAGGCCGAAAGGCGUAGUCGAUGGGAAACAGGUUAAUAUUCCUGUACUUGGUGUUACUGCGAAGGGGGGACGGAGAAGGCUAUGUUGGCCGGGCGACGGUUGUCCCGGUUUAAGCGUGUAGGCUGGUUUUCCAGGCAAAUCCGGAAAAUCAAGGCUGAGGCGUGAUGACGAGGCACUACGGUGCUGAAGCAACAAAUGCCCUGCUUCCAGGAAAAGCCUCUAAGCAUCAGGUAACAUCAAAUCGUACCCCAAACCGACACAGGUGGUCAGGUAGAGAAUACCAAGGCGCUUGAGAGAACUCGGGUGAAGGAACUAGGCAAAAUGGUGCCGUAACUUCGGGAGAAGGCACGCUGAUAUGUAGGUGAAGUCCCUCGCGGAUGGAGCUGAAAUCAGUCGAAGAUACCAGCUGGCUGCAACUGUUUAUUAAAAACACAGCACUGUGCAAACACGAAAGUGGACGUAUACGGUGUGACGCCUGCCCGGUGCCGGAAGGUUAAUUGAUGGGGUCAGCGCAAGCGAAGCUCUUGAUCGAAGCCCCGGUAAACGGCGGCCGUAACUAUAACGGUCCUAAGGUAGCGAAAUUCCUUGUCGGGUAAGUUCCGACCUGCACGAAUGGCGUAAUGAUGGCCAGGCUGUCUCCACCCGAGACUCAGUGAAAUUGAACUCGCUGUGAAGAUGCAGUGUACCCGCGGCAAGACGGAAAGACCCCGUGAACCUUUACUAUAGCUUGACACUGAACAUUGAGCCUUGAUGUGUAGGAUAGGUGGGAGGCUUUGAAGUGUGGACGCCAGUCUGCAUGGAGCCGACCUUGAAAUACCACCCUUUAAUGUUUGAUGUUCUAACGUUGACCCGUGAUCCGGGUUGCGGACAGUGUCUGGUGGGUAGUUUGACUGGGGCGGUCUCCUCCUAAAGAGUAACGGAGGAGCACGAAGGUUGGCUAAUCCUGGUCGGACAUCAGGAGGUUAGUGCAAUGGCAUAAGCCAGCUUGACUGCGAGCGUGACGGCGCGAGCAGGUGCGAAAGCAGGUCAUAGUGAUCCGGUGGUUCUGAAUGGAAGGGCCAUCGCUCAACGGAUAAAAGGUACUCCGGGGAUAACAGGCUGAUACCGCCCAAGAGUUCAUAUCGACGGCGGUGUUUGGCACCUCGAUGUCGGCUCAUCACAUCCUGGGGCUGAAGUAGGUCCCAAGGGUAUGGCUGUUCGCCAUUUAAAGUGGUACGCGAGCUGGGUUUAGAACGUCGUGAGACAGUUCGGUCCCUAUCUGCCGUGGGCGCUGGAGAACUGAGGGGGGCUGCUCCUAGUACGAGAGGACCGGAGUGGACGCAUCACUGGUGUUCGGGUUGUCAUGCCAAUGGCACUGCCCGGUAGCUAAAUGCGGAAGAGAUAAGUGCUGAAAGCAUCUAAGCACGAAACUUGCCCCGAGAUGAGUUCUCCCUGACUCCUUGAGAGUCCUGAAGGAACGUUGAAGACGACGACGUUGAUAGGCCGGGUGUGUAAGCGCAGCGAUGCGUUGAGCUAACCGGUACUAAUGAACCGUGAGGCUUAACCU
rnacentral:rRNA from 1 species